rnacentral:rRNA from 1 species
UAGAUGACUCUCGGCAACGGAUAUCUCGGCUCUCGCAUCGAUGAAGAACGUAGCAAAAUGCGAUACCUGGUGUGAAUUGCAGAAUCCCGUGAACCAUCGAGUUUUUGAACGCAAGUUGCGCCCGAGGCCUUUUGGUCGAGGGCACGUCUGCCUGGGCGUCACGC